rnacentral:rRNA from 1 species
GAUGAACGCUGACAGAAUGCUUAACACAUGCAAGUCUACUUGAACUUCGGUUUGGGUGGCGGACGGGUGAGUCACGCGUAAAGAACUUGCCUCACAGUUAGGGACAACAUUUGGAAACGAAUGCUAAUACCUGAUAUUAUGAUUUUAGGGCAUCCUAGGAUUAUGAAAGCUAUAUGUGCUGUGAGAGAGCUUUGCGUCCCAUUAGCUAGUUGGAGAGGUAACGGCUCACCAAGGCGAUGAUGGGUAGCCGGCCUGAGAGGGUGAACGGCCACAAGGGGACUGAGACACGGCCCUUACUCCUACGGGAGGCAGCAGUGGGGAAUAUUGGACAAUGGACCAAAAGUCUGAUCCAGCAAUUCUGUGUGCACGAUGACGUUUUUCGGAAUGUAAGGUGCUUUCAGUUGGGAAGAAAAAAAUGACGGUACCAACAGAAGAAGUGACGGCUAAAUACGUG